ACGUAGGGGGCGAGCGUUGUCCGGAAUUACUGGGCGUAAAGGGUGCGUAGGCGGUUUGGUAAGUUAGAUGUGAAAUCCCCGGGCUUAACUCGGGAGUUGCAUUUAAAACUGCUGAACUAGAGUGCAGGUGAGGAAAGCGGAAUUCCUAGUGUAGCGGUGAAAUGCGUAGAUAUUAGGUGGAACACCAGUGUCGAAGGCGUCUUUCUGGACUGUAUCUUACGCUGAGGCACGAAAGCGUUGGGAGCGAACAG
rnacentral:rRNA from 1 species